GGGAAUUGAGCGCUGGGCAUGUAUUAUCUGAGCAGAGCUGAUGUCUCUCGUGCUUUAGCUCUAGAAUUACUCUGAGGCCCG
rnacentral:snoRNA from 1 species